UCUGAAGAGGCCCUCUGGUAGCCAGAGAUUUCUUCAUAUGAUGGGCUGUGGAUAGCCCUUUAGCCCCCACCUUCUUCUUCGCUGUCUUUUUUUUCUUUUAUGUGCUGAGUGUGGACCUGGUGAAAGUUAGUUGUGGAGAUUGGCGGCCGCAUUUGAUUCUGUUGACGAGUCUUGUGUUUUUUAAAAACCUUACCAGAAGGUACUUGAUCUCAUGUUGGGUGCUGUGGUUUAAAUCGAGGUUGAGGCCAAGGAGAUUUGGGCGGUGCAGUGUAUUAGAGCAUGUUCUGUUGUUUCAGGUGCAUCACAUUCUUCGCAGCUUGGGUCUUGUUCUGGUCUAUGCCUGGCUAGUUGGGCACGCAGUCUAUUGUGGCCAGUCCUCAGUCUAAAGAGGAUUCUUGUUAUUGUUCGGGAUUUAUGGAGGUGCCACUUGAGAAAGCCAGGUUGUUUUCUGUUUUG